GGGGCUCAGGCUGCACUGACCCUGUGCCAGGCUGUCCAGCACUGUCCAGGCAGUGUCCACAGAGGCAGGCGCUGGGCCCUGACCUGGACGAAGGGUCUCUGGGCCUGCGAGGAUGUGGUUUCAGGCCCUCGGUCACCAGGAAGGGGAACAACCUGUUCUGCCCCACUGUCCCCCCACAGACAGGGCCUCCUUGCAAACCUCCUUCGCCCUGCUGAGUCCACUCAUGCGUGCCCAGCCAUGAGCUCCGGGUGGGCAUGCACGCUCACCUAUCAGGGCUCAGGGAUGUUUUGCAGGUGAAUAUGUGGGGCCACACUGAGAACACUAGCGAGCCCUCAUCCCUGUGCCCCCAGUUCUAUUCCCCAAGCCCCCGCUACUGUGACCGGCGAAGGCCAAGGAGCGGCCAUGGCUGGGAGCAGGAUGCGGGUGCGGACGGGUAGAUGGCAGGGAUCUGUGUGCCGAGGUGUCCCUGGCUCUUCUGGGUGACAGUGGUGGAGCAGACACAGCGGCAGGGAGGUUUGCAGGACCCAGCCCUCAGCUCUCUGAGGUGGGAGGAGGCAGGGCUCCCGUGUGGCUCUGGGCCUGUCCUGCCGUUGGGGACUUGGGCCGCAAUGCCACCCCGCAAUGGCCACCCCCCAGCAGUGCUCAGCCUCUCCUCUGCCUGCCAGGGGAGGCACGGCAGGUGUCAAGAGGCUCAGGACAGGGAGGGGUGCGUCCUGCAGCGCGGUGCUCCUGGUGAGUGUUUGGGCGGCGGGAGGACACUCUGCCCUCCGCCCUCCACCCUCCUGUCUGGCUCAGUGGCCCUGCACCUGGGACAUCGGUCUCCACUUUCUGCUGUGGGGCUGACCGCCACUCCUCCAUGCCCACCACAAGACACUUUCUGCACGAAGCACCCAGGGCAGCACUGUCCCCGCACCAGGCCAGGAGACCCAACGCGCCCGGCAGGAGUCGGCACACCACUGGCUUUCCUGCCCGCAGCCGCCUCCCUUCCGCCCCAAGCCUGUGUCCCUGGCACAGAGGGUUAGCGAAUGGGCUCCCAGGAGAGCAAGUGCCUGGGACUGUGACGGCUGUCCACACUCACGGGCCAUGGGGGUUCAAGGCCGGCAGAGAGGUCCCCAGAAAGUGUCCCGUGGUCCACAAGGACGCUACCGAGCCACUGACCUGGCCUCGCAGCUUCCCGCUGCCGGCCUGCACCCUGGGCGCGUGUCUCCCUGAGCCCGGGGAGGUUGGCAGUACCCCUGGUUCCCUUUCAUGAUGACCUCCG
rnacentral:lncRNA from 1 species